CCCCGUGAACCUUUACUAUAGCUUGACACUGAACAUUGAGCCUUGAUGUGUAGGAUAGGUGGGAGGCUUUGAAGCGUGGACGCCAGUCUGCGUGGAGCCAACCUUGAAAUACCACCCUUUAAUGUUUGAUGUUCUAACGUUGGCCCUUACCGGGGUUGCGGACAGUGUCUGGUGGGUAGUUUGACUGGGGCGGUCUCCUCCCAAAGCGUAACGGAGGAGCACGAAGGUUAGCUAAUCCUGGUCGGACAUCAGGAGGUUAGUGCAAUGGCAUAAGCUAGCUUGACUGCGAGCGUGACGGCGCGAGCAG
rnacentral:rRNA from 1 species